rfam:Brassica napus, WGS project CCCW01000000 data, contig: 26749
CGACCCCAGGUCAGGCGGGAUCACUUGCUGAGUUUAAGCAUAUCAAUAAGCGAAGGAAAAGAAACUAACAAGGAUUUCCUUAGUAACGGCGAGCGAACCGGGAAUAGCCCAUCUUGAAAGUCAGACGUUUUCGGCGUUCGAAUUGUAGUCUGGAGAAGCGUCCUCAGCGGCGGGUCAGGCCCAAGUUCCCUGGAAAGGGGCGCCAGAGAGGGUGAGAUCCCUGUCGUGCCCAGACCCUAUCGCACCACGAGGCAAUAUCUACGAGUCGGGUUGUUUGGGAUUGCAGCCCCAAUCGAGCGGUAAAUUCUGUCCAAGGCUAAAUGUGGGCGAGAGACCGAUAGCAAACAAGUACCACGAGGUAAAGAUGAAAAGGACUUUGAAAAAAGAGUCAAAGAGUGCUUGAAAUUGUCGGGAGGGAAGCGGAUGGGGGCCGCCGAUUCGUCCCGUUCGGAUGCGGAACGGAGCAAUCCGGUCAGCCAAUCAAUUCGGGCCAUGGACCAACGCUGAUUAAGGUGGUGACCUAAGCCCGGGCUUUUGUUACGCCCACGGAGACGUCACUGCCUUAAUCGUGGUCUGCAGCACGCGCCUCACGGCGUGCCUUGGCAUCUGCGUGCUCAGGACGGAGCCUGACAUGUGUGCGAGG